ACUCAAAGGAAUAGACGGGGACCCGCACAAGCGGUGGAGUAUGUGGUUUAAUUCGAUGCAACGCGAAGAACCUUACCUGGUCUUGACAUAUAUUUAAAAAGCUUAGAGAUAAGUAAUAGUUAUAGAUAUACAGGUGGUGCAUGGUUGUCGUCAGCUCGUGUCGUGAGAUGUUGGGUUAAGUCCCGUAACGAGCGCAACCCCUAUCUUUAGUUACCAUCAUUCAGUUGGGGACUCUAGAGAGACUGCCGGUGAUAAACCGGAGGAAGGUGGGGAUGACGUCAAAUCAUCAUGCCCCUUAUGAUCAGGGCUACACACGUACUACAAUGGCAUAUACAAAGGGCAGCUACACAGCGAUGUGAUGCGAAUCUCAUAAAGUAUGUCUCAGUUCGGAUUGGAGUCUGCAACUCGACUCCAUGAAGCAGGAAUCGCUAGUAAUCGUGGAUCAGAAUGCCACGGUGAAUACGUUCUCGGGUCUUGUACACACCGCCCGU
rnacentral:rRNA from 1 species